rnacentral:lncRNA from 1 species
GCACCCCUCGAUCCUGUGAUUUGAACGCGGUCGCUUGUUGGAGCAUAUCGGCUAAUUUGACACCACGAAUGUAUAAACCACACAAAAGCACGCAAAACAAUCAAUCAAGCAAAAAAAAAUAAAAACAAUCCAAAAUUUGGUGUCCAGUCCAAUUUAUUACAAAUCGAAAUAGAAAAUACUGAAAUAAACCUACACUAACCUAUACUAGUCCUAAAUUAUACUCUACCCGAUGCCUUGGUCCUUCAUCACAGACAUCCUCCGUGUACAAAAUACCUCAGGGCAUUCCCCAACGAAUAAACACAAAUACCUCGGGGCAUUCCCCAGCCAAAUGAAUACAUUUUUAAUGCAAGAAGACCACAAUCAUUCAAUAAUAUUUCAAACAUUCCAUAUUUUAUAAUCCCUAAAUUUGCUUAUCACCCCUAUUGUUUGCCUAUCGAUUUGACGACCUAAUCUUGAUACUAUCAAGUUCGAUGACAUCAAUGAAUCAAAAUUAGUCCGUAUUCAUUUUUUUACUUUUCAAAUCCCAUCUCACUUUUAUUCUUGAUCAAUUAACCAAUUCCAAUACAGAAUCAAAACUACGAUAAUCAUAGACGUUCAAACAUACUAUAAAAAAUUAUAUCAUCAAUCAACAUGAACCACGCAACUCACAACAUCACCUCACCAAAUUAAGUAAAACAAAGAGAAGGAGUUGAAGAAUUGGACCUUAGAAGAAGCUUUCAAAAUUGAUGUAUUAUUCCAAUAAAAACCCGGUACAAUCCGCGUCGAGAACCUUGAUUCAUACCUCAAUCACGAACUUGCCAACUCGAUCAAAACCCCAAAACAGCGGAGAAAGCCACAAAAAAAAUCCAAAUCUCAAUUUUUGAACCAAGCUUGAAAUGAGUCAUGCCAGGUUUGUUAUUUUUGGUGAAGUUCGAACUCGCUGAAGCUCCGAUGGAUCUCGACAGUCAGCGAAACAAUGUUUUCCCAGUGAGAUUUUGCCAGAGAACUAGAAAUGAAAGAGAAUUCGAAGAUUUUGAGGGUGCGGAUGGUCUAAUUCCGGUAAGGGAAUACCGAUUUCGGCGAGAAACUCGCCGAAAAAACCAAACCAGUCGUCCUUUUUCUCAUGUAUUCCCUCUCUUCGAUCGAUUCUCUCCCUUUCUCAAUUUGGAUUGUCUUCUCUCCGAUCUCACGCUCAGAUUUGUCUCUCACUGUGGUUGUGUGUAUGUAUAAUGGUUUUGUGUGAAGGCAGGUGUAUUAAUGGAAUAAACUCAUCAGUGAUGGUGUCUAUAUAUUCCUCUUUCCCGUAUUCUAUAUGUGUAUAUGUUGAAUUGAGAUCUUUUUCUUUAUGGUUACCGUGAUGUUCGUCCAUGGCGUGUAGGUGUGUUCGUGGUAUAUGGGUCUUCUCUAAAAAUGGAAAAAAAUGGUCAGAAUGUUACUGUGUGGACAUCUCUGUAUUGUUAUCUAUUGUAUUCUUAUGUAUUCGCCUCCCAGUUUCUGUGUGAAGUGCGUGUGUAUAUUGUGAAUUACAGUGAGUGAGAAUUGUGUGGUAGUGGAGUAGGGUAGGUGGGCUAGUGAGGUGCGGGUAGGGGUAGGAUGUGAUGUGGUUUAUUUUGAUUGGAUGGGUUGUUAGGAUAAGAUAAAAUUAGCUAGGGAUUGUUAUUUUUGUCAUUUUGUGGAGAUUAUCACACGGGGUAGGGUACGCGGUAGGAUAAGGUAAAAAUGUGUAAAAAUGAUAUAGGGAAGGGACAAAAUUAGGUGUCUACAUCAUGCCCCCUUUGAAUGUAAACACAAAGUAUUUUUGAACAAAGAAGUAGACAACAAGACAGAAUUUUGUCCCGAUCAUUAUUCGAAGGAAAAAUAGAAGAAAGAAGAGCAAUCGAGUAUUGACUUAGGACACCCUACCUACCCAAGUUAUGAGGGAAUCAAGUGACAGGAUUCUCAAAGGAUUGAAAGGAGAUGGACUUUACCGAGUUGAAGAGUCGAGUGAGGUCCCGAUGAGGUUCCAGUCCGCGCAUCUGUUAUUACAUCAUAAAUAAAAGUUACAAGUUAAAACAUAAAUAAAAUUACAAAAUCAUAUCUAUGCAGUUAGUUUCUUUUGGACUCUUAACUUGAGUUUCAUCACUCUAUUCUUCAGGCGGGCUCCUGACUUGCAAUUUCAUCACUUGUUGCUUGGUUUUCAAUCUCUUCACCCUGUUCUUCAGGCGGGUUCCUAACUUGCUAUUUUUUCAAUCUGUUGACUUUAAAUUUCUUCACCUUGUUGCUUGACUUUCAACUUCUUCACCUUGUUACUUGACUUUCAACUUUUUCACCAUGUUGCUUGACUUUUCAUUUAUUCACCCUGCUCUUCAGGCGGGCUCCUGAAAUCACAUCAAUACUAAAAAGAAAAAUUAUCCCAAACAAAGAUUAUUAUAAAGAGAUUUCAUUUGUCAGGAAAGCGAAGUUCCAAACACAGGAUUUAAAUUUUCCCCAGUUUCUCAUCAAAGGACUUUUGGGAAAGUCACAUCAUUAUAGGAAUCAAAGGGAAUGACUAGACUAAAAGGAACAUCUUAUAAGAAUCAAAGGGAAUGACUCAACUAAAAGGUACGUCUUCUAGGAAUCAAGGGAUAUGACUCGACUAAAAGGUACUUCUUAUAGGAAUCAAGGGGCAAGGGGAAUGACUUGACUAAGUCUAAUGACUCGACUAGGGAAUGACUAGACUAAAAGGAACAUCUUAUAAGAAUCAAAGGGAAUGACUCAACUAAAAUGUACGUCUUAUAGGAAUCAAGGGGAAUGACUUGACUAAAAGGUACGUCUUUUAGGAAUCAAAUGACUCGACUAAAGGCACAUCAUCUAGGAAUCAAGGGGAAUGACUAGACUAAAAGGUACGUCUUCUAGGAAUCAAAGGUAAUGACUCGACUAAAAGGUACGUCAUCUAGGAAUCAAGGGGAAUGACUCGACUAAAAGGUACGUUUUCUAGGGGUCAAGGGGAACGAUUCAACUAAAAGGUACGUCUUCUAGGGGUCAAAGGGAAUGACUCGACUAAAAGGUACAUUUUAUAGGAAUCAAGGGGAAUGACUCGACUAAAAGGUACGUCUUCUAGGGGUCAAGAGGAAUGACUCGACUAAAAGGUACGUCUUCUAGGAAUCAAAUUAAAUAACUCGACUAAAAGGUACGCCUUAUAGGAAUCAAGGAGAAUGACUCGACUAAAAGGUACGUCUUCUAGGGGUCAAGGGAAAAGACUCGACUAAAAGAUAUGUCUUAUAGGAAUUAAAGAAGAUGACUCGAAUAAAAGGUACGUCUCAUAGGAGUGAAGGUUCAAUUUAAGAAGUGUAUCACCUAGCAAAUGAAAACUAAAAUCCCUGGACAAGAAAGUGUCUCCGAGGGAUAUAGGAUGAUGAUUUUUUACAAUGACUUGAUUAUUAAACCUGUCCAACAACAUUGUUUCCUGCAUUUGUAGGAGUGAGGCAUUGCAGACCUUGAUAUUUAUGUUCCGAAUUCCUUGAUUUAAAGGUAAUAUGUUUCCUAUUUCAUCAAAAAAAACUUGUGAGUUAAAAAAUAUGGUGGCUGGCUUGUGGCUUUAGCUUUUGCGACAAUCGCUCUUGCCCCAGUCACAUUUAACCUUGCUUCCAACCAUUAGCAUAUGUCAUUGACUUGUUGAAUCAGUGAUCCAAACUCAUAUUAGGAAGAGUGACUCUGCCACAAACACAGUAUCUCUGCUUUGCCAUGUUUCUCAGUUAAACCCUUUGAACUAUGGUAUUUCCGUGGGUUCCCAGACUUGUCUAUUGACAAAACUUUCUAUAUGUCCUUUUUUCAGCUCACAAUUAUAUCUCUUUCAUGCGCUGGCCUUUUUGUCUUGCUUUGUACAAUUGAAGAAGUUGGUAGCCAAUUUUAAAAUCUUUUCUCACUUGUUUCGACAUGGACUAGACUCAAAGACAAGAGCGAAAAUGACCAUGAUUUUUUAUUUGGAUAACUGACUCAAGAAAAAUAAAAUAAAAAUAAAACAAAGAGAAGAAAGAAAAGACAAUGAAUGUACCCAUUAAAAAAAAUAAUGAAAAAUGUAUCUAAAAAUGACAGUUAACUCUAUUGAUUAUGCCAUGCAUUUUGGAUUAAGUUGCCUGAUCUUUCAUCUAAACCUUCUACUAAUUGUUGUUGAGUUAAUGACCUUGAAACUGAAUUGCUUCCUUGGGCCAAUUUGCAUUCAAAAAUCUCAUUUGGCUAGUGGCACCUUGAAGGGUUUUCGCCAACAAGCCUCUCUCAUCUUCUUUUCCUCAACUCACCAUAGUCUUAUGGUGUCUGUAAGAGUUUUCACCAACGAGACUCUCUUAUCUUCGUUUCUCUCAACUCAUAGUCGUCUUACGAUGCCCAUGAGAGUUUUCACCGAUAAGAAUCUCUCAUUUUUAUUGCUCUCUUGAUUUCUUAUGCCGAGGAAGACAAGUGGUUCCCAAAUGCAUCAUCAUAUCCCUUGCAUGCUUAGCCUUAACAUCCUCAAAGAUUGAUCCGAAGGUCUUUCUUUGGUUGUAACUUGGCUUUUGGAUAGGGUUAGAAAGAAGGGAUGGCAUGGGGCCCAAACGGCACUUAAAGUGGGGUAGGACUUACAAUUUUUAGAAACGACUCAAAUAAUGAGGAUUAACUUAUGCCCCAGUUUUUUACUAGGCAAUUCUAAAUUAUUUAUUUGGUUGGACCAAGCCCUAAGUAGGGCAUCCUACGUAUCUCACCCCCGAGAGAAAAGAAUCGGGUCAUGCGUAGUUCUGGCAACUUGUUUUGCUUGAUUCUGAUUUCAUUUUUCUUUUGACUUCUUUUUUUUUCUUUGUAAUUUUUCUGACUCUAAUUUACUUACUUUUUUUCUUCCUUCUUGGACACAUUUUCCUCUUUUUUUGAAAAAACUUUCUGACUCUACUCUCUUGCUCUAUACUUUUCUUUUGAACUUUAUUGGUUUUAUCUUGAUUCCAAAAAAGGGGUAUGAAAGAAAAUAACACUAAGGCUUAAAUGGGGUAGACAAAGGAUGACACAAUGUUUGAAUAACAGAAUAAAAUGUCUUUGUCAUAUCAAUCCUUGAAAAUGCACGUACAUAUCAUGCAAUAUAAAAGUGAAAGAUGAAGAUCAUUUGACACCUUAAAACCACUAUCUUUAAUUGAACAUGUGUGCUACUUCUUCCUCUACACUUGUCAAACAUAUAACUCCACCUUUGUUGUAUAUCCCUUACAUUGAAUGACUCAUACUUUCGUCGAGUUGAUUUUCUUUAUAUUCCUCUUGAUAGGAUCACGCAGACACUGUUUGACCUAAUCGAGACAUGUCUUUUAAUUGAUGACCAAGUUAUUCUUGUGAUUCUCAAAAUAAUUGCCUUAAUUUUUAGAAAAGGCUUCAACUUGUCACCAAAUAUCUCAGUACUCUACUAUUUUCUUAGAUGUUUCUCCUAACUUUAGCCCUCUGAUUCAAUGUUCAUGCUUAAACUGCAUUUUAAGAUCUGACUGAAAAUUCCGCAGGCAUGUCAUAUUACUAGAAUCAACAUAAAAUAUGUUGUAUAAAGAAAACAAACAAACAACACAUUUGAAACAUAAAAGGAAAGGGACACUUCAUUUAGUUGAAAUAAAAGAUAAAAGGGUUUGAACAUAAACGACGAAGGGACAAACAAGAUAGAUCUCGAACUACAACCCUGAAAUACUUCAAAAAAUAGAAAAGAAAACAAAACAAACUACCAGACCUCUUCCUAGUGGGGAGAUGGGUGACUUCUCAUUUGCUCAGCCUGACAACUUAGCCACUGGUUUGCAUAUCAACAUGACCAGAGCUUCCCUCACUGUCAAUGUUCUGCACCAUAAUCGAUCCAUCUUGAAUCAUCUUUUCAAUUUCCCUUUUCAAAUCUCAACAAUCUUUAAUACUAUGACCCUGAGCAUCAGAAUUAUACGCACAUCAUACAUUAGGGUCAAAAUUUCUUGAACAUCGAUUAAGAGUGCACUUAAGGAGAGGAGUGAUCAUGCUCCAUUGUACCAAUUUCUGAAACAAACUAGCAUACGACUCUCUAAUUGGUGUGAAGUUAUCUCUCGACUUCUGCCUCAUUUCAUCAUUUGGCUUGGAUAAAAAAUCAGGCUUAGAAGGGUUUUGGUAUAUUUGUGAAGUUAGAGGAUGACUCUGAAUUGUUGGUGUUUUCCACUGUGGGUAAGAUGGGGGUUGAUUAUGUGGUUGUGCAUUAUAUACUGAAUAUGGAGGUGGAGGAGCAGAGUAUAAUGGAUUUUAGGAGUGAUUAUGUGGAGCUUGGGCAUGACCUUGGGUUUGAGCCUGAGAGUGGCGACAACGGGGUCUUCUUGACCGUGCCCGCUGUCCAACUACAAUAGAGGAUGCAACUUCCUCAUUCUUUGUCUCCACAAUACUUCCUGAACCCUUUUGAAUUGCUUGAGUUGUCACUUUCAAUGUUGCAAAACUCACAAUGUGACCAGUCUUAAUUCCCUCUUCUAUCAUCUCCCCCAUUUUAAGGACCUCAAUAAAUGACUUGCCUAAUGCAGGUAACAAGUUUUGAUAAUAUAUUUCAUCCUGUGCUUGAAUAAACACCUUUGCUAUUUUGCUUUCUUUCAUUGGCGAUUUUACUCUAACAGCUUGUUCGCGCCAUCUGAUCGCAUACUUUCUGAAACUCUCAGUAUUCUUCUUUUUUAUACUAGUUAGGGAUUUUUCGUCAGAGAUCAACUCCACAUUGUAUUGAAAUUGUUGCACAAAUUCAUUAGCUAGGUUAUCCCAACUAAUCUACUUGUCAAUGUCUUGGUCAACAAACCAUUUCGAAGCUAGGUCUAAAAGACUCCCCCAGAAAUAAUCCUUGAGUAGUUCUUCCUUCCCUCUAGCGCCCCUCAAUUGGUUACAAUAGCGACUCAAAUGUGCCACUGGGUCCCCAUGUCCAUCAUAGUUCUCAAACUUUGGCAUUUUAAAGUCAGGUGGAAAGUUGACACCUGGAAACAUGCAUAAGUCCUUAUAUGAGACACUUUUGUAACCCUCAAGUCCUUGCAAGUUCUUCAUAGCCAGUUCCAAACUUCUCAAUUUUUUGGUCAUUUCCUCUUGUCCUUCUUUCAUAACAAGCUUCUCAGUGUUAGGAGGAAAUUCAAGUGGGUGAGUGUCACUGUAAAGACCAGUCAACUUGAAUGUAGGCUCGAAAGUGUACCGCUGAUCACCAGUAAUAUUCAAUCCAGGCUUUCUUGUAGAGUAGGGAGGCACAACUUGUGGACGAACAUCAAAAGUAGGAGCUUCAGGUGGGGGUGGCACCGCAAAAGCAUGAACAACAGGUGAAGCCGAGUAUGUGGUAGUCUUGGAUUGGGGAGUGAGGAAAUAAACAUUAGAAGUGGUUGGGUAUUGUUGCCCCAAAGUCGAUCCUGAUGCAUGUUGUGGCAUAUCAACAAAAAUGGGAAAUUGUGCAUAUGACACGAGAGGCAAGAUGGAAAGAUAUUCCAGAUUAUCAGUGGGAACUGGAGGAGGAGGUAACCCAUUAGCCCAAGCUCGAUGCAUUCCUAUCAUUUGCUGCCUCAAUUUCCGAAUCACUUCAUUAGCUCCUACAUUCUCACUUCUCAAACUCCCUAUCUGAUAGUGACAACAAACUCGGUAUCCUUGUUAGCCAUAACCUUCUCUAUGACUUGGUGCAAUAUGGAGGACCAGCUAAAAUGCCACAACCCAACCACCUCAAACUAACUGAACAAGAGAUAACAAAUGCGUUAGAGUCUAACACUUUCUCAAAAUCUCCCCUUUUUUUCUUUUUGAAAAGGUCACCGAACCCAAGAAGGCUACCUACGUAUAUCACCCCCUGAGAGAGGAGAAUCAGGUGUGCGUAGUUCAUGAAAUCUUGCCAAAAUGGUCAAAUAAACUCUUUUUCUUUUUCUUGAAACUUUAAAAAUAAAAGGAAAUAACAAAUUGUCAAAAGAAUUGACGAAAAUCUUUUUUGCAUUUUUCGGCUUUAAUAACCUAUACAAAAUGAAACCUAUGAUUACCAAAGAAAAGUCAUUUUGGAUUUUCGAUUUUGAAUUUCAUAUGAAAAUAAAACUUGAAACUAUUAAAGGAAAAUGUUUUUGUAGUUUUCUUUUUAGAGAUGUAUAUAAAACACUUACUUUAAAUAAAGAGUGAAGAAAAUCUUUUAGAAUUUUUCAAAUAAGAUCCCCGAACCAAAAAUAGGUUGCCUACAUAUCUCACAUCCCGAAAGAGGAGAAUCAGGGGUGCGUAGUUCAUCCAGAUUGGAAAAUUAAUGAUUAAAUAAUCGACUAAACCCGGACUUGAGAUACCAGACCACAAACAGAAGAUGAAAAACAUCAAUAAAAUCUUUUUAAGUUUUCAAUUUGACACUUAACCUAAAAAUGACACCAAUAAAUAUGCAAGGAAAAUCUUUUUUGAUAUUUUCGUUAUACGAAAUGUAUAAAACUUCUACCAGUUUUUAAAUUUUUCUUUUAUAAAAGGCUCCUAUUGAAAAAUAAUCUUUUUGAAAUUUUUGAAUUAUGAAUGCAUGCUAAAGGAGACAAAGCAAAAAACUUUCUGAUGUUUUUGAUUUUUGAGAAAUGAGUGCAAAAGGAAAAAAAAUCUUUCUGAAUUUUGAAUUUUGAAAAACAAAAGCCAUAAAGAACUCUGAAAACUAGAAACUCUCUUUUUUUUUCUUUUUGACUCACUAUUCUUUUUUUUUUUUUUUUUUUUACUUCUAACACAUGUUUUCCCCAAAUUAGUCCAUCAAAUGACCAUAUUACCCUCAAAGAUGCAACAAUUAACACGUAGGGAUGCUUUAGAGGCAAGUCUCCUACAAAAGGCCAAGUGGGCCCCUCUAGGUCUUCAAUAUGAUGCAUAUAAACAUGACCUACAAGGUGACCUACGUUGGGGUUCACUAACAAGGCUGUUCGGAGGAGCGUAUAGUCGAUAGUGGCUGCUUUGCUUUCCACCUACUCCAUAACAUCGAUGGCUCCUCCCCUAAAAUAAGGGUGACUCAACUAGAGGUCGUGUACAACACGUGUACUAUGGACUUGUUGCAGAAAGAAUGACUCGGGCUAUGCACAUGAUGCUAGAUAUAAAGCAGCAACACAUAAGAUAAAAUUAUAAACAAAGAGCAUGUAGGCACUCAAAAAAAUAACAAAAAGCAACGCAAAUAUAUGUCUAUACACGUAUAGUGACAAACUAAGCCGAUACAACUCCAAAUUAAGCUUGAAUUCUGAAAAUAGAUCUCCAACGGAGUCGCCAGAGCUGUCACACCCCUUUUUAACUCCAAAAAGAUAUUAUUUUAAAAGUUUGAAAGGGUUUUCGUUAUAAGUGACAAAAGAUAAAAAUUUGCUUCGAAAAGGACCUUUUAUAUUCAAAACUCAGAGUCGCCACUUGGCAUAAUCCGGUGUGCCAAGUCACCUUUGAAAAAUCCUUUUCAAAACGAUUUGACUCAAACUGGUUUGCGAACAGAGAUUUCAGCUAAGGAAUUCUGUUGACCGACGGAAAGGUGUUAGGCACCCCUCGAUCCUGUGGUUUGAACACGGUCGCUUGUUGGAGCGUAUCGGCUAAUUUGACACCACGAAUGUAUAAACCACACAAAAGCACGCAAAACAAUCAAUCAAGCAAAAAAAAUAAAAACAAUCCAAAAUUUGGUGUCCAGUCCAAUUUAUUACAAAUUGAAAUAGAAAAUACUGAAUAAACCUACACUAACCUAUACUAGUCCUAAAUUAAACUCUACCCGAUGCCUUGGGCCUUCAUCACAGACAUCCUCCGUGUACAAAAUACCUCAGGGCAUUCCCCAACGAAUAAACACAAAUACCUCGGGGCAUUCCCCAGCCAAAUGAAUACAUUUUCAAUGCAAGAAGACCACAAUCAUUCAAUAAUAUUUCAAACAUUCCACAAUUUAUAAUCCCUAAAUUUGCCUAUCACCCCUAUUGUUUGCCUAUCGAUUUGACGACCUAAUCUUGAUACUAUUAAGUUCGAUGACAUCAAUGAAUUAAAAUUAGUCCGUAUUCAUUUUUUUACUUUUCAAAUCCCGUCUCACUUUCAUUCUUGAUCAAUUAACCAAUUCCAAUACAGAAUCAACCAAUCAAAACUACGAUAAUCAUAGACGUUCAAACAUACUAUCAAAAAUUAUAUCAUCAAUCAACAUGAACCACGCAACUCACAACAUCACCUCACCAAAUUAAGUAAAACAAAGAGGAGGAGUUGAAGAAUUGGACCUUAGAAGAAGCUUUCAAAAUUGAUGUAUUAUUCCAAUAAAAACCCGGUACAAUCCGCGUCGAGAACCUCGAUUCAUACCUCAAUCACGAACUUGCCAACUCGAUCAAAACCCCAAAACAAUGGAGAAAACCACAAAAAAAAAAAAUCCAAAUCUCAAUUUUCGAACCAAGCUUGAAACGAGUCACGCUAGGUUUGCUAUUUUUGGUGAAGUUCGAACUCGCUGAAGCUCCGAUGGAUCUCGGCAGUCAGCGAAACAAUGUUUUCCCAGUGAGAUUUUGCCAGAGAACUAGAAACGAAAGAGAAUUCGAAGAUUUUGAGGGUGCGGAUGGUCUAAUUCCGGUAAGGGAAUACCGAUUUCGGUGAGAAACUCGCCGGAAAAACCAAACCAGCCGUCCUUUUUCUCAUGUAUUCCCUCUCUCCGAUCGAUUCUCUCCCUUUCUCGAUUUGGAUUGUCUUCUCUCCGAUCUCACGCUCAGAUUUGUCUCUCACUGUGGUUGUGUGUAUGUAUAAUGGUUUUGUGUGAAGGCAGGUGUAUUAAUGGAAUAAACUCAUCAGUGAUGGUGUCUAUAUAUUCCUCUUUCCCGUAUUCUAUAUGUGUAUAUGUUGAAUUGGGAUCUUUUUCUUUAUGGUUACCGUGAUGUUCGUCAAUGGCGUAUAGGUGUGUUCGUGCUAUAUGGGUCUUCUCUAAAAAUGGAAAAAUAUGGUCAGAAUGUUACUGUGGGGACAUCUAUAUUGUUAUCUAUUGUAUUCUUAUGUAUUCGCCUCCCUAUUUCUAUGUGAAGUAUAUGUGUAUAUUGUGAAUUCCAG